ACGGCUCAGUAACACGUCGGUAACCUACCCUCGGGAGGGGGAUAACCCCGGGAAACUGGGGCUAAUUCCCCAUAGGCCUGAGGUACUGGAAGGUCCUCAGGCCGAAAGGGACUUAUGUCCGCCCGAGGAUGGGCCGGCGGCCGAUUAGGUAGUUGGUGGGGUAAUGGCCCACCAAGCCGAAGAUCGGUACGGGCUGUGAGAGCAGGAGCCCGGAGAUGGACACUGAGACACGGGUCCAGGCCCUACGGGGCGCAGCAGGCGCGAAACCUCCGCAAUGCGGGAAACCGCGACGGGGGGACCCCGAGUGCCGUGGCAACGCCACGGCUUUUCCGGAGUGUAAAAAGCUCCGGGAAUAAGGGCUGGGCAAGGCCGGUGGCAGCCGCCGCGGUAAUACCGGCGGCCCGAGUGGUGGCCGCUAUUAUUGGGCCUAAAGCGUCCGUAGCCGGGCCCGUAAGUCCCUGGCGGAAUCCCACGGCUCAACCGUGGGGCUUGCUGGGGAUACUGCGGGUCUUGGGACCGGGAGAGGCGGGGGGUACCCCUGGGGUAGGGGUGAAAUCCUAUAAUCCCAGGGGGACCGCCAGUGGCGAAGGCGCCCCGCUGGAACGGGUCCGACGGUGAGGGACGAAGGCCAGGGGAGCAAACCGGAUUAGAUACCCGGGUAGUCCUGGCUGUAAAGGAUGCGGGCUAGGUGUCGGGUGAGCCUCGAGCUCGCCCGGUGCCGUAGGGAAGCCGUUAAGCCCGCCGCCUGGGGGAGUACGGCCGCAAGGCUGAAACUUAAAGGAAUUGGCGGGGGAG
rnacentral:rRNA from 1 species